UGAAGGGCAGCUCCUUCUGGGAAGAUUCCUUAUAAUAUCAACGCAAACCCCGAUCCCUUCUGGUGAACUUAAGACCCUAAGCCGAAGCUGAGAAGCAGUUGGUUCCUGGCAUGAAGAGGAUGGUUGUAGGCUGAGGUCUGAAGGGAGAAGUCAGGUUACAGAGAAGCGUUUGCUGCAGGGUAGUCAGGUGGGCAGAGACCUGAGACCCUUGGGGAGUAGCCCGCCAGGCUGUGCCCUUCAAAGUCUCUGACCAGUUCUGGUUCCAGCAUUUUCUGGGCGAUGCCAUCAGAAGCCCCUGUGUCAAGGACACCUACUGCCAAUUUUCGCAAGUUCAUUUUUCUUGCUGUUGAGUCAGACAAGAAGGCCUAGGCCCAGGAGGUGAAGAGCUUAGGGGUUUUCAAAGCCACAGAAGGCUUGGCCCAUCAGGUCUCCGCAGGAACAUGGCUCAUAAAAUGGGUUUGCUCCUCACUUGGAACCACAGCUGGCAAUCCUAGACAGAGCAGGUGAAGGCCGCAGUAAGCUGGGGGGUGGUGUGGAACUCUGAAAAGACUCCUCCCUUGUGCCAUUCUGGGCCAGAACAGAGAUUUCGCAUUUUGCUGGCUUAGGGUGGGGACACGGCAUUGUCCUCACAGACUGAAAUCAUCACAUUUGAAAGCUGGAACGAGCAUCUUUUGGUUGGGCAUAACGCAAUUGCUGGGCCAAUUUCUGCAGAACAGAGUGACAGGUCACUGUGCCCUCCUGGACGCAGGCUGUCUGCCACCUUCCUGCAGCAUCCCCCUGCUUCCUGGGGCCCUCCCGGAUGCAGGCUGUCUGCCACCUUCCUGCAGCAUCCCCCUGCUUC
rnacentral:lncRNA from 1 species